AACAGCUUGGAUGCGGGGUGUAUCCUAAUUGUGGACAUUAUUUCUCCGUUACAGAAAGCGACUGAGCCUGAGUAACUGCUGGACUAGAUACCUGAAGGGUUGCCUCACAAGCUGAAACAAAGUGUUCUGUUUACGAUACAAUGCAGGAGACGAUCGAUCAUGUUUAGAUGAACGUCUCAACUGUAAACUGUGGUUCUAGCAUCUUUUUGCGUUGCUGGUAGAGCUGAUUAUUGAUAUCAGACAAGAUCUAGUAGCAGUGAAGACAGUCAAAUUCUGACUGGAUUACGAGUGUCGCUGAUAUUGACAUUCCACCUACUUUGUUCGUUCUCAUUUCAUACCCUAUUGUGGCCAGAUGUAGUUGCAGUCAAAACAGCUAGAUUGUCAGUGGAUUACUGAUGUCUAGAUCUAGUAUGAGUGAAGAUAUUCACGUGUUUACUGAACUGGAAUUACACG